rnacentral:sRNA from 1 species
UAUUUUUCUUCUAGAGAAUAUAUUUUUUGGGUCUAAAUUGGGUUAAAAUAGAGUCGAAAUCGAAUUAAGUUCGGUUAAAUUUCGGGUAAGUCAAACCGGAUGUAUAAUUAUCGGUUAACUGGUCGGUUCAAUUGGAGGUGUAGUUUUAAGAACAAAUCCGAAAGUACAUGUAGUUUUAUCGAGAUUAAAAUUGUUUAUAGUAAUUUUUCAAGUGGCUAAAAGUUUAUGGUGGAAAAUUGAGAUUCCAACUACUAUAGGGUUGAAAAUUCAGGCAACCCUUUAUACUUUACAAUUUAAUGUUAGUCCUAAUAAGCCCAACUAAAGUACACUUACUCUAUUGAUCUAACGA